UACGUAGGGUGCAAGCGUUGCCCGGAUUUAUUGGGCGUAAAGAGCUCGUAGGCGGCUCGGUAAGUCGGGUGUGAAAACUCUAGGCUCAACCUAGAGACGCCACCCGAUACUGCUGUGGCUAGAGUCCGGUAGGGGAGCAUGGAAUUCCUGAUGUAGCGGUGAAAUGCGCAGAUAUCAGGAGGAACACCAGUGGCGAAGGCGGUGCUCUGGGCCGGUACUGACGCUGAGGAGCGAAAGCGUGGGGAGCAAACAGG
rnacentral:rRNA from 1 species